rnacentral:rRNA from 1 species
GACGAACGCUGGCGGCGCGCCUAACACAUGCAAGUCGAACGGAAAGGCCUGCUUUCCCUUGUGGAUUGCGGGUACUCGAGUGGCGAACGGGUGAGUAACACGUGAGUGAUCUGCCCCCAACUUGGGUAUAAGCCUGGGAAACUGGGUCUAAUUCCCGAUAGGACUGCAGGGUGGUGCCUGUGGUGGAAAACGAUUUUCUAGUGGUUGGGGAUGAGCUCGCGGCCUAUCAGCUUGUUGGUGGGGUAAUGGCCUACCAAGGCGGCGACGGGUAGCCGGCCUGAGAGGGUGGACGGCCACAUUGGGACUGAGAUACGGCCCAGACUCCUACGGGAGGCAGCAGUGGGGAAUAUGGCACAAUGGGCGGAAGCCUGAUGCAGCGACGCCGCGUGGGGGAUGACGGCCUUCGGGUUGUAAACUCCUUUCGACCGCGAGGAAGCCGCCUGGUUGGAAGGGUGGUGACGGUAGUGGUAGAAGAAGCACCGGCUAACUACGUG